UACGAAGGGUGCAAGCGUUACUCGGAAUUACUGGGCGUAAAGGGUGCGUAGGUGGUUUUGUAAGUCUGCUGUGAAAUCCCCGGGCUCAACCUGGGAAUGGCAGUGGAUACUGGAAAGCUGGAGUGCGGUAGAGGGUAGUGGAAUUCCCGGUGUAGCAGUGAAAUGCGUAGAGAUCGGGAGGAACACCAGUGGCGAAGGCGGCUACCUGGACCAGCACUGACACUGAGGCACGAAAGCGUGGGGAGCAAACAGG
rnacentral:rRNA from 1 species